GGCUUUCUGGACGCACACUGACGCUCAGGCGCGAAAGCCUGGUUAGCAAACAGGAUUAGAUACCCUGGUAGUCCACGCCAUAAACGAUGGGUACUAGCUGUCGGGGCUAUCGACCCCUCCGGUGCCGCAGUUAACGCACUAAGUACCCCGCCUGGGGAUUAUGCUCGCAAGGCUGAAACUCAAAGGAAUUGACGGGGCCCCGCACAAGCGGUGGAGCAUGUGGUUUAAUUCGACGCAACGCGAAGAACCUUACCUGGACUUGACAUGCUUGGGACAGCGCUGGAAACAGCGUCUCUCCUUCGGGAGCCCUUGCACAGGUGCUGCAUGGCUGUCGUCAGCUCGUGUCGUGAGAUGUUGGGUUAAGUCCCGCAACGAGCGCAACCCUCGUUACUAGUUGCCAUCAGUUCGGCUGGGCACUCUAGUGAGACUGCCGGUGAUAAACCGGCGCAAGGUGAGGAUGAUGUCAAGUCAUCAUGGCCCUUACGCCCAGGGCUACACACGUGCUACAAUGGUCGGCACAAAGGGUCGCUAAGCCGCGAGGUGGAGCUAAUCCCAAAAAGCCGGCCUCAGUUCGGAUUGGAGUCUGCAACCCGACUCCAUGAAGGCGGAAUCGCUAGUAAUCGCGGAUCAGCAUGCCGCGGUGAUAUGUUCCCGGGGCUUGUACACACCGCCCGUCAUAUCACCCGAGUCGGGAUACCCGAAGUCCGUGACCCAACCAUGUGGAGGGAGCGGCCGAAGGUGUGCAUACUCUCGGGGGUAUGGUCGUNGGAAG
rnacentral:rRNA from 1 species